GAUGAAGAACGUAGCUAAAUGCGAUACGUAAUGUGAAUUGCAGAAUUCAGUGAAUCAUCGAGUCUUUGAACGCACAUUGCGCCCCCUGGUAUUCCGGGGGGCAUGCCUGCCCGAGCGUCAUUGCUGCCCUCAAGCACGGCUUGUGUGUUGGGCCUCCGUCCUCCUCCCGGGGGACGGGCCCGAAAGGCAGCGGCGGCACCGCGUCCGGUCCUCGAGCGUAUGGGGCUUCGUCACCCGCUCUUGUAGGCCCGGCCGGCGCUUGCCGACACAUCAAUCUUUUUUCCAGGUUGACCUCGGAUCAGGUAGGGAUACCCGCUGAACUUAAGCAUAUCAAUAAGCGGAGGA
rnacentral:misc_RNA from 1 species